ensembl:snRNA U6 U6 spliceosomal RNA
UCACUUCAGCAGCACAUGUACUAAAAUUGGAACAAUACAGAAAAGAUUAGCGUGGUCCCUGUGUAAGGAUGACACACAAACUUGUGCUCUGUAUUUGUUCUUU